rnacentral:rRNA from 1 species
GCCAAAAACCUAGCCUAUUGAAACUUUAUAAACCUAUAACUAUUUUAUGUUAUAAACUAAAACAUUCUAUUAUUUUAGUAAAGGAGAUUAAAAAAAUUAUAAGAGCUAUAGAUGAAGUACCGCAAGGGAAAAGUGAAAUAAAAAUGAAAUAAACCUGAAGCAUAAAAAAGUAGAGAUUUUAUCUUGUACCUUUUGCAUCAUGGUUUAACUAGUCUAACCAAGCAUAAAGCAUUAUAGUUUGACCUCCCGAAACUAAGCGAGCUACUUCAAGGCAGCUUUAUGAGCGAACCCGUCUCUGUUGCAAAAGAGUGGGAUGACCUUCAAGUAGAGGUGACAGACCUAACGAGCUUAGUGAUAGCUGGUUACUCAAAAAAAGGAUUUUAGUCCAACCUAAUGCUUCUCUUAAAAAUUUAAAUUUACCCUGAACUUUAGAGCAAUUCGAAUAAGGUACAGCCUAUUCGAAACAGGAUACAACCUUCACUGACGGGUAACUAAUCAAGCUAUUCAACUAAGUGGGCCUAAAAGCAGCCACCUUUAAAAAGCGUCAAAGCUUAAUUGAAAAAUUCAACUAAUCCCCUUAGCCUUUAUUAACCCUCUAUUAUUAUUGAGUAAUUCUAUACCUCUAUAGAACCUAUUAUGUUAAAACUAGUAACAAGAAGCCAAACCUUCUCUGAGCUGUAAAUGUAAACCAGAAAGGAUAACCCACUGGUAAUUAACGCCCAUGAGCCAGUAUUAGCAACCCCCCAAGAAAACCCUAAUUUUCCACGCGUUAACCUAACACAAGAACACCCCCAGAAAGAUUAAAAGAAAAAGAAGGAACUCGGCAAACAUAAACUCCGCCUGUUUACCAAAAACAUCGCCUCUUGAAUUAGAUAAGAGGUCCAGCCUGCCCAGUGACCCCAGUUCAACGGCCGCGGUAUCCUAACCGUGCAAAGGUAGCGUAAUCACUUGUUCUUUAAAUGAGGACUAGUAUGAAUGGCAUCACGAGAGUUUUACUGUCUCCUUUUUCUAAUCAGUGAAACUGUUCUCCCCGUGAAGAAACGGGGAUAAAUAUAUAAGACGAGAAGACCCUAUGGAGCUUUAAACUUUAUUUCAACUGCUUUCUCUUCAUAGCCGGCCCCGGCCUCUCUUAUUGAAUCAAGCAUCAUGAUAAUAGAUUUUAGGUUGGGGUGACCACGGAGCAUAAAAAAACCCCCGUGUUGAAUAAAAGGCCUCAUAGCCCUGAGCUAAGAGUUACAACUCCAAGCACUAACAAUUUAACAUCCAUUGACCCAAUAUUUUUGAUCAACGAACCAAGUUACCCUAGGGAUAACAGCGCAAUCUACUUUGAGAGCCCCUAUCGACAAGUAGGUUUACGACCUCGAUGUUGGAUCAGGGUAUCCCAGUGGUGCAGCCGCUACUAAAGGUUCGUUUGUUCAACGAUUAAAACCCU